rnacentral:rRNA from 1 species
CCUACGGGAGGCAGCAGUGGGGAAUAUUGGACAAUGGGGGCAACCCUGAUCCAGCAAUGCCGCGUGUGUGAAGAAGGCCUGAGGGUUGUAAAGCACUUUCAGUGGGGAGGAGGUUGUAUAGGUUAAGAGCUAGUACAAUGGACGUUACCCACAGAAGAAGCACCGGCUAACUCCGUGCCAGCAGCCGCGGUAAU